rnacentral:rRNA from 1 species
UAGGGAAUCUUCGGCAAUGGGGGCAACCCUGACCGAGCAACGCCGCGUGAGUGAAGAAGGUUUUCGGAUCGUAAAGCUCUGUUGUAAGUCAAGAACGAGUGUGAGAGUGGAAAGUUCACACUGUGACGGUAGCUUACCAGAAAGGGACGGCUAACUACGUGCCAGCAGCCGCGGUAAUACGUAGGUCCCGAGCGUUGUCCGGAUUUAUUGGGCGUAAAGCGAGCGCAGGCGGUUUGAUAAGUCUGAAGUUAAAGGCUGUGGCUCAACCAUAGUUCGCUUUGGAAACUGUCAAACUUGAGUGCAGAAGGGGAGAGUGGAAUUCCAUGUGUAGCGGUGAAAUGCGUAGAUAUAUGGAGGAACACCGGUGGCGAAAGCGGCUCUCUGGUCUGUAACUGACGCUGAGGCUCGAAAGCGUGGGGAGCGAACAGGAUUAGAUACCCUGGUAGUCUACGCCGUAACGAUGAGUGCUAGGUGUUGGAUCCUUUCCGGGAUUCAGUGCCGCAGCUAACGCAUUAAGCACUCCGCCUGGGGAGUACGACCGCAAGGUU